UGUCUAUUUCAUCACAGUAUGUAAAUCAAAUUCCAAAAAUUACUAAGAGAGAAUUUGAUUUCAAACAAAUCUAUAGUUAUAAAAUGCAAUGUUUGUUGGUCUGUCUGUUCUGCAAAGGCUUCUAUAUUGUUUGAUUCUGCAGGACCAAACUUGGCCUAAAAAGAUUUCCCAUGGCCUUAUGGGUAACAUAGACUACUAUUCUGGGUUCAGAUCAUCCCAAGUAGUAGGUUAUUUUGAUUGUAGCAAUGAAAAUGCCUUCAUUAGUGGAAAUGGCAGAACAUUUUGCUGCUGCUGGAGAGAGAGAUGACAAGGCACAUCUUCAGUUAUGUUUGAAUUUGGGAUGAUAUCACAAUGACACCAAUGUGCCAUCAUAAAAUGUUUCUAUUGCAUGAUAUCAUAUUAUCACUAUGAUGUCAUUGUGAUAUUAUAUGCUAGUUAAAUCAACUGGUAAAGUUGAACACAAAAAGCCAAUGGAU
rnacentral:lncRNA from 1 species